rnacentral:rRNA from 1 species
CGAAAGAGGUUGAGGUAAAAGUGGGCCUCUGUACACAAGCUCACGCCAGGGGAUGGGUCCGCGGCCCAUCAGCUAGUUGGUAGGGUACGGCCUACCAAGGCGAAGACGGGUAGCUGGUCUGAGAGGAUGAUCAGCCACACUGGAACUGAGACACGGUCCAGACUCCUACGGGAGGCAGCAGUGGGAAUCUUGCGCAAUGGACGAAAGUCUGACGCAGCGACGCCGCGUGAGUGAUGAAGGCCUUCGGGUUGUAAAGCUCUGUGGAGAGGGACGAAUAAGUGUCGUCGAAUAGACGGCAUGAUGACGGUACCUUUUAGCAAGCACCGGCUAACUCUGUG